rnacentral:RNase_P_RNA from 1 species
GAGUCAGCCGGACAGUCGCUGCUUUGGAUUCCAGGGUAGAGGAAAGUCCGGGCUCCAUAGGGCAGGGUGCCAGGUAAUGCCUGGGCGAUGUGAGUCGACGGAAAGUGCAACAGAGAGUAGACCGCCGAUGGCCUCCAAGAGGCACAGGUAAGGGUGAAACGGUGCGGUAAGAGCGCACCACGUUGGUGGCAACAUCAACGGUACGGCAAACCCCACUCGGAGCAAGACCGAAUAGGGACCAUUUGGCGCUGCCCGCGUCUGGUCCGGGUAGGUCGCGUGAGGCCAGUGGCGACACUGGUCCCAGAUGAAUGACUGUUCUCGACAGAACCCGGCUUACAGGCUGACUCC